rnacentral:rRNA from 1 species
UAGUUGCCAGCACGUAAUGGUGGGAACUCUAAGGAGACCGCCGGUGACAAACCGGAGGAAGGUGGGGAUGACCUCAAGUCAUCAUGGCCCUUACGGCCAGGGCUACACACGUACUACAAUGGUGGGGACAGAGGGCUGCAAGCCCGCGACGGUAAGCCAAUCCCACAAAACCCAUCUCAGUCCGGAUUGGAGUCUGCACCUCGACUCAUGAAG